AUGCCCUACGGGGGGCAGCAGUGGGGAAUAUUGGGCAAUGGGCGCAAGCCUGACCCAGCAACGCCGCGUGAAGGAAGAAGGCUUUCGGGUUGUAAACUUCUUUCAUCAGGGACGAAGCAAGUGACGGUACCUGAUGAAUAAGCCACGGCUAACUACGUGCCAGCAGCCGCGGCAAUACGUCGGUGGCAAGCGUUAUCCGGAUUUACUGGGCGUAAAGGGCGUGUAGGCGGG
rnacentral:rRNA from 1 species